UACGUAGGGGGCGAGCGUUGUCCGGAUUUAUUGGGCGUAAAGAGCUCGUAGGCGGUUUGGCAAGUCGGGUGUGAAAACUCCGGGCUCAACUCGGAGACGCCACUCGAUACUGCUAUGACUUGAGUCCGGUAGGGGAGUGCGGAAUUCCUGGUGUAGCGGUGAAAUGCGCAGAUAUCAGGAGGAACACCGGUGGCGAAGGCGGCACUCUGGGCCGGUACUGACGCUGAGGAGCGAAAGCGUGGGGAGCAAACAGG
rnacentral:rRNA from 1 species